AUGCGCGCUCCGGGGUCGGUGAAACUCCGAGCCGGCGGUGACAGUCCGCGACCCGUCCGCAGCCAGCGGGCGGCUGACCCGGUGAAAUUCCGGGACCGACGGUGAAAGUCCGGAUGGGAGGACGCGCGC
rnacentral:ncRNA from 2 species